rnacentral:ncRNA from 1 species
AAGGUGGGGCAGAUGAUUAGGGUGAAGUCGUAACAAGGUAGCCGUAGGAGAACCUGCGGCUGGAUCACCUCCUUU